rnacentral:rRNA from 1 species
UACGUAGGGGGCGAGCGUUGUCCGAAGUUACUGGGCGUAAAGCGCGCGUAGGCGGGCUCUUAAGUGAGGGGUGAAAGGUUCGGGCUCAACCCGAACACUGCCUUUCAUACUGGGAGCCUUGAGUGCGGGAGAGGCGAGUGGAAUGGUCGGUGUAGCGGUGAAAUGCGUAGAUAUCGGGAGGAACGACCAAUGGCGAAGGC